AGAGUUUGACCCUGGCUCAGGAUGAACGCUGGCGGCGUGCUUAACACAUGCAAGUCGAACGAACCUUCGGGUUAGUGGCGGACGGGUGAGUAACGCGUGAGAAUCUGCCCUCAGGAGGGGGAUAACGGCUGGAAACGGCCGCUAAUACCCCAUAUGCCGAGAGGUGAAAUGAAUUUCGCCUGAGGAUGAGCUCGCGUCUGAUUAGCUAGUUGGUGGGGUAAGAGCCUACCAAGGCUUCGAUCAGUAGCUGGUCUGAGAGGAUGAUCAGCCACACUGGGACUGAGACACGGCCCAGACUCCUACGGGAGGCAGCAGUGGGGAAUUUUCCGCAAUGGGCGAAAGCCUGACGGAGCAACGCCGCGUGAGGGAUGAAGGCCUCUGGGCUGUAAACCUCUUUUCUCAAGGAAGAAGAUCUGACGGUACUUGAGGAAUAAGCCACGGCUAAUUCCGUGCCAGCAGCCGCGGUAAUACGGGAGUGGCAAGCGUUAUCCGGAAUUAUUGGGCGUAAGGCGUCCGCAGGCGGCCUUGAAAGUCUGCUGUUAAAGCGUGGAGCUUAACUCCAUUUCAGCAGUGGAAACUACAAGGCUAGAGUGUGGUAGGGGCAGAGGGAAUUCCCGGUGUAGCGGUGAAAUGCGUAGAUAUCGGGAAGAACACCAGUGGCGAAGGCGCUCUGCUGGGCCAUAACUGACGCUCAUGGACGAAAGCCAGGGGAGCGAAAGGGAUUAGAUACCCCUGUAGUCCUGGCCGUAAACGAUGAACACUAGGUGUCGGGGGAAUCGACCCCUCCGGUGUCGUAGCCAACGCGUUAAGUGUUCCGCCUGGGGAGUACGCACGCAAGUGUGAAACUCAAAGGAAUUGACGGGGGCCCGCACAAGCGGUGGAGUAUGUGGUUUAAUUCGAUGCAACGCGAAGAACCUUACCAGGGUUUGACAUCCUGCGAAUCCCUUGGAAACGAGGGAGUGCCUUCGGGAGCGCAGUGACAGGUGGUGCAUGGCUGUCGUCAGCUCGUGUCGUGAGAUGUUGGGUUAAGUCCCGCAACGAGCGCAACCCACGUCUUUAGUUGCCAGCAUUGAGUUGGGCACUCUAGAGAGACCGCCGGUGAUAAACCGGAGGAAGGUGUGGAUGACGUCAAGUCAUCAUGCCCCUUACAUCCUGGGCUACACACGUACUACAAUGCUACGGACAAAGGGCAGCAAACUCGCGAGAGCUAGCAAAUCCCAUAAACCGUGGCUCAGUUCAGAUCGUAGGCUGCAACUCGCCUACGUGAAGGAGGAAUCGCUAGUAAUCGCAGGUCAGCAUACUGCGGUGAAUACGUUCCCGGGCCUUGUACACACCGCCCGUCACACCAUGGAAGUUGGCCACGCCCGAAGUCGUUACUCCAACCCGCAAGGGAGGAGGAUGCCGAAGGUGGGGCUGAUGAC
rnacentral:rRNA from 1 species